rnacentral:rRNA from 1 species
AUUGAACGCUGGCGGCAUGCCUUACACAUGCAAGUCGAACGGCAGCACGGGGCAACCUGGUGGCGAGUGGCGAACGGGUGAGUAAUGCAUCGGAACGUACCUUUCAGUGGGGGAUAACGUAGCGAAAGUUACGCUAAUACCGCAUAUUCUGUGAGCAGGAAAGCAGGGGAUCGCAAGACCUUGCGCUGAUUGAGCGGCCGAUGUCAGAUUAGCUAGUUGGUGAGGUAAAGGCUCACCAAGGCGACGAUCUGUAGCGGGUCUGAGAGGAUGAUCCGCCACACUGGAACGGAGACACGGUCCAGACUCCUACGGGAGGCAGCAGUGGGGAAUUUUGGACAAUGGGGGCAACCCUGAUCCAGCCAUGCCGCGUGAGUGAAGAAGGCCUUCGGGUUGUAAAGCUCUUUCGGCCGGGAAGAAAUCGCACGGGCUAAUACCCUGUGUGGAUGACGGUACCGGAAUAAGAAGCACCGGCUAACUACGAGCCAGCCGCCGCUGUAAUAC